rnacentral:misc_RNA from 1 species
AAGGAUCACUAGUGAACACAAACUUGGUACUUGCUUCACGGCGAGUACCAAACCCUUCACAUCCACACACACCCUUUGUGCACCGAGUGCUUCAACGACCGACGUUUAAUUACCGACGUUGGAGAGGCAUUCAACCCAACUUUAUAAACUCAGUAUGCAAUGAAUGUAAAACGUUUUUAAUAAACAAACAAAACUUUUAACAACGGAUCUCUUGGUUCUC